rnacentral:rRNA from 1 species
GAUCAUGGCUCAGAUUGAACGCUGGCGGCAUGCCUUACACAUGCAAGUCGAACGGCAGCAUGGAGAGCUUGCUCUCUGAUGGCGAGUGGCGAACGGGUGAGUAAUACAUCGGAACGUGUCUGUUUGUGGGGGGACAACCGGUCCGAAAGGAUGGCUAAUACCGCAUGAGACCUGAGGGUGAAAGCCGGGGACCNCAAGGCCCGGCGCAGACGGAGCGGCCGAUGAUUGG